AAAAAAGAGCACCAUCUCCGACUUCUAUUACCCCUUUGGUUGGGCAUGGAAGAGCCAAGAACUUGAAUUUGAUGAAGCCCAGUCUCAGGAGAGUUACAAUGACGAGUUGGCACUCUUCUUUGAGGAUUUCCUAGCCACAAUACAAGGACAAUACCCGCAAGACUGACAAUUGGACCAGCAGCAAGAAAAAACCAUCUACUUCUGCGCUCUCUUCCAGAGCUACUUACAAUUGGGUUCAUGUCUAGAAGCUCCCUUUGCUCCAUUCCACCUUGGUCAAAUUCACCAGCUCCAUCUGAAACAUAAGAGGAACUUUCCUCGCUUGCAUCCUGCUGCUGAAUUUCAGGAAUCCCCGAUCUAUUAUUAUUGUUUUGCUUACCCUUCUCAUAUUCUUUGUCAUCAGUCGGUAGCUCAAACCUACAGAGAGGGCAUGAAUUUCGAGUACUCAGCCAUGGAAAAAUACAGGAAGGGUGAUAUAGGUGAAGGCAAGGAAGCUGGUUAACUUCAGUGCCAAUGGAUAAAACAUCCUUGCAAAUUGCACAAGCUAAACCAUCAUUCUUCUCAUGUUCCUCAUUAAUGAUCACACAAGGGAGGUUAUUCACAAAGGGCACAGCUGCAGGGGGUGCUUCUCUUCUUGAGCUGUCAGUCUCUGCAAGAUGUUCAAGAAAUUCUUCAAAGCCUCUUGCAUCAAGAUAAUCCCCAGAAUUUCUUACAUAUUGUGGUAAUUCUGAUUCUCCUAAGUUAGCAAAGAUCUCCCUGUUAUAUGCUUGUCUAUCUUGCCUGAUUCUCCAGUGAAACAGGCCCUCAAAUUCAGGAGAAAAUAACUGUUGACGCCAAUUACUAGAGCCACUACCUUCAUUUGGACUUGAAAUUAAAUAAUUUCGCAGCCUUGGUCCUGCCACCACAGAUUCAGUUGUGUUGUCCUCAACAUCAGCUUCUUCCCAUUCACCAUCUUCUUCUUCUUCCUCUUCCUCGUCAUCUGAGUUCCAUUGGUUGAGACCAGCAUGCAUUGGAUCAAUGUCAGUAUCACUGUCAAAAUUGCUUCCCUCAUCUGGUUCAAUAAUAUCCACAAAACUAUGUCCAUCAACAUCUACAUCAGAGUCCCCUCCAUAUGCGCUAAAAGAAAUGGCAUCACUCUCACCAAGAUAAACCCUGGACCAAUUGACACUGGGAGUUGUUUCAUUCUCGCUAUAAAGAGAAUCCCAAUUAUCAAGACGCUCACUUCCAGUAUCUGAGAGAACCCGCCGCCAUCUUAUAGAACUGGUUGGGGUUGUAUGGGAGCUUGUGUGCCGCAACAGCCUAACAGAAGCAUCUCCAUCUACAGAUGGAUUGUCAAGACCAGAUACAAUGGACUGGUUUUGCCUAGCCAAAUUAAUCAUAUGUGAUAACUGUUGUGAAAAAAGAUUUUCAAUUGACUCAGAACUGCUGUAACUAGUUCUUCUUCCUCUGUGUGGCCUCCUCCUAAAAGAAUCCUGAGUGGAGUCCCCUACAUCUUCGAGAAGCAAAAAUUUACAGUCCCCGCAUAUACUGACAGUCUCAAGAUCAUCAUUGUCAGGUGCAAAAAUUCUUCUGCACACCACACAUGCUACUUGGUGGAUAGAAUGAUCAAUCACUAAACCACCAUCUGCAUGGCCACGUGCAGCAAAGAGGGGCACAUCUUGUGAAGUUCUUUCUGAAUCUGCAUCCAUCAGAAAAAUCAAUUCCGGACAGUAAAAUGCUUGGAUCUUCAAGAUUCCUACGCGCCAGGUCCAAUCACAAGCUUCAGGCUAUUAGAGCCGUAGAAAUAAAACCCAAAAUUAAAUCCAUAAAACUUGAAAACCCAACAAAAACUAAUGAAGAAAUCAAAGGGAGAAAACAAAAAAGAAAAGAAAAAGAGAGAGUUGAAAUCCCAACAACCACAAUAAGAAAAG
rnacentral:misc_RNA from 1 species